ACAGGCACUUAUCAUUUGUGAACAGGAACAAGAACUUCAAUUUGAUUUUCAGCUUUAUGGAUUCUGAGGAUUAGUUUCAAUGAGAUUGUCAAGAUUGAUAUGUUUGUCUAUGCUUUUGGAGAUGAGAAUGUAAGACUUGUCAAGGUUGCUCUUAGGAUUGGUGCUGGUAACAUGGUAAAUGCUAUUCUAUGAAAGUUUCACAUAAGGAAAGGAACUCACUUCCAUUGCCAAAUAUACAAGGAGAUGUGCGUCGUGUGUGCUCUUGCAACAAUUUAUUCACAUCUAGUUUGGAUGGUGAGGCGAUGGAUACAGUAUCUUGGACGCGAUAAAAUAGUGAAGUAAUGGUGUGGAACAAUAAUCACUAAUGGUGUGGAACAAUAAUAACCCA